AUUUCGACGAACACCGAAACCACAACAACUUCUCUUCCUCAGUGAGACUGCGACCAUCUCACAACAGCUUCUCUUCCACAACGGCUUCUCUUCCUAUAAAUCGAAAACGACUGCCUCCGAUUGUUUUUAACCGUCGAUGAUCUCGUUCAACUGUUUUUCAGCAAGGAAGGGCUAGUGGCCUUGGUUGAAUACAAUGGAAAGAAGAUUUUCGAGGUGAAGCUUCAGGAUAUUAAAUCUGCUUUGACAACCCAGAUAACAGAGGAAACUGAUGUAUCUGAAGUCAUAGAAACGGUGAAGCAGCGCAUUAAAGAUGCCAAAUUGCCAGAUAUUGAGGUUGUGCGUAUCCUAUGUGAUGUCAUUAUGGAUGCUGUGCAGUGGUCUGGUAAGAACCAACAACAGAAUGCUAAUGCUGCUCUUCGCCAGGUGAAAACAUGGGCGCAGCUGUUGAAUGCCUUCUGCACCAAUGGGAAGCUUGAGCUGGAACUGAUAUACAAAGUUCAUAUUUCGUAGUAAUAUGUACUAGGCUAACUUGUAUCGAAAAAAAAAUGUACUAGGCUAACUGAAAUCUUAAACUAGUGAUGAGUAUCUGGUAGUUUUUCUUUUGAAUUUAGGAUUAAAUUCACUUUACCCCCCUAAUUUUUAGUGUCAAAAUCAGUUCAGUCCUGUAAUUUUUUUUUAAAAAUUCAGUUCGCCCCUUUAACUUUGGUAAAC